AAAUGUUCCUGUCAUUUUUGCUGCUGCUGGCAGCUUCAUCCUAUGUGGAAUGUGCAGUAGAGCUCACUCAGGUCUCCUCAAUGAUGUUAAAGCCAGGAGAAUCUUUAACCCUCAGCUGUAAAGUAUCCGGAUACUCUGUUACUGAUAACAGCUACGCCACAGCUUGGAUUCGACAACCUGCAGGGAAAACUCUGGAAUGGAUAAACUACAUUUGGGGUGGUGGAGAUAUGUAUCAUAAGGAAUCUCUAAAAAGCAAGUUCACUAUUUCUAAAGACGGCUCCAGCAGCACAGUGACUCUGGGAGGACAGAAUCUGCAGACAGAAGACACAGCUGUGUAUUAUUGUGCACGCCGCACCCACAGUGAUACUUCUACUUAGGUGUCAAUACAAAAACACGUGUGUGCUGUAGUGAAAAAUCUGUGUAUUAGAUUUAAGGGGUGAAUAUAGAAAAAUACAUGAUGAUACAAAUGCCCAUACUUUUGUUUACUUAUAUUUUAGCUCCGUGUGAGAAGUGUUUAUUGAGAGCAAAACCAAUUUUAGCUAAACCUUAAAAAAAAUGUUGACUUCUUGUGUGCCACUAGAGGGCAGUCUGUGCAAACUCACCCAUCUCAACCAUGACAGCUAUGACUGCAUUCAGCAUCAUGUCAUCAUUUCUGCAUCAU